rnacentral:lncRNA from 10 species
GAUUACAGGCGUGAGCCACCACGCCCGGCUAUACUUAUUCUUAAAGCAUCAGUUCCAUGGGUUAAUUUAUUUCUUUGUUAUUUCUAUAAUGUUAUAUCUUCUUAGCUUUUCAUAUAUUUAUUUUGAUACCUACCUAGGGUGCAACAACUUUCUAGGUUGAAGCAAAAAGUAAUAAUAACCCAGGAUACGAUGUGGGUUACCUAUUCAAUUCUUAAUUUGACAUGGAAACUGAUUACUUUUUCCAAGGGUUUUGAAGAGCCAUUGGGUCAACAGGCUGGGCUGCCAUUUUUUUUUUUUUUCUUGGCUUAAUCUUCACUUGUUACAUCAGUGAAAUUUGUAAGUCUGGGUCUUUUACACAGUCUUCCGUUUUAUUGCAACCUGGUGUCUCUCUCCAAAAUUUUAUACAUUGCAAGUCUCACUUGGCCAAUGUUACAUAACCCAUUGUCCUGUCAUUGUGACAUAUGGAUCUGGUCUGUGAGCAUUAUUUAAGACUGCUAGAUACCUUUUAUUACCUUGUAAUUAGUAGGGUCAUCUAGAGGUUUCACAGGAGAUGAGAGAUUGGGUCUGCGUGUUUUUCUCCUCCCCAAGACAUUCAGCUAAUCCAUCACUGUGAAACACCUGGCAAAAUGUUCCAUCUACUUGGUUACUGGGUCCACAUGCCUGCCAGGGCUGGCUCACCAAGCUCAUCUUCCAUCUGAUUGUCAGUGAGGCCAGCAGUGCCACCUUGUCCUUUUGGUUGUCUUACCGUUUCCAUGACUUCUUAGCUUACUCAUGGGUCCCCGUGAUUUUUCUUUCCUGUUUCUAUAGCUAGAAACAGAUACAUGGUAAUAAGUUAUAAAGAAAUACAAUGAAUAGCAAAAAAUAAAAGAUCCAUAUGUAACCAUACCUCAACUUAUUGGAAUAAUAAAAACAAAUAGAUCUUAUUAUUUUACCUUUUAAUUACAACCACCUUUUUGUAUAACUUAUAUGAACUUUUUUAGUGUCAUGAAUUCAUGGCUUUUCAUUAACUUAUCUUGUUCUAAUCAACUAUAUUUCAUCCUCUUCUCCUCAUUUCCUUCCCUCUUUUUGCUGUUCAGAUGAUCACUUUGCCAGUGGAAAGCGCUUUCAUCUGCCCCCUCCCCUCUUUUAAUGCUACACUGAUAUCCUUGAAAGCAAUCUUAUUUUCCGCCAACAGCAGGAUGCUUGAUAGCCAUCCUUACUUUCCAUUUUUUCUCCAAGGCAUAGAACCACCUACCCUCUAAAAGAUCCCAAUUCCUUUUAGUGGGGAAUAGUGUUAGAGCCCAGGAUCUGAAUACGAUGUGGGUGUGUGCAGUCUCGGUGCCCAGGAUCUGGGAUCUGAAUACGAUGUGGGUGUGUGCAGUCUCGGUGCCCGGGAUCUGAAUACGAUGUGGGUGUGUGCAGUCUUGGUGCCCAGGAUAUGGGAUCUGAAUACGAUGUGGGUGUGUGCAGUCUCGGUGCUGUGACUCCAGCUCUUCUGUUUGGGUCUCAUGUCAUGCUGCCCCAUGGGACCAAACACAAUUGUACUUCAGACUCAUGGUGCUCUGCUAGAGGCUGUUCUUUCCACCACUGGCCUUGGGAAGCAACAGAAGCUGUUCUUCCCACCACCACUCUGGCCUAACGUUCCCUUAAUUUCUCA